rnacentral:rRNA from 1 species
AUACGGAGGAUCCGAGCGUUAUCCGGAUUUAUUGGGUUUAAAGGGUACGUAGGCGGGGCGUAUAAGUCAGCGGUGAAAUUUUGCAGCUUAACUGCAAGCUUGCCGUUGAAACUAUCGUUCUUGAGUGUAGAUGAGGUAGGCGGAAUGUGUUGUGUAGCGGUGAAAUGCAUAGAUAUAACACAGAACCCCGGUUGCGAAGGCAGCUUACCGGGUUAUCACUGACGCUGAGGUACGACAGCGUGGGGAUCAAACAGGAUUAGAUACCCUGGUAGUCCACGCCGUAAACGAUGAAUACUCGCUGUUUGCGAUAUACGGCAAGCGGCCAAGCGAAAGCAUUAAGUAUUCCACCUGGGGAGUACGUUCGCAAGAAUGAA